rnacentral:rRNA from 1 species
GGUUAAUAUUCCUGUACUUGGUGUUACUGCGAAGGGGGGACGGAGAAGGCUAUGUUGGCCGGGCGACGGUUGUCCCGGUUUAAGCGUGUAGGCUGGUUUUCCAGGCAAAUCCGGAAAAUCAAGGCUGAGGCGUGAUGACGAGGCACUACGGUGCUGAAGCAACAAAUGCCCUGCUUCCAGGAAAAGCCUCUAAGCAUCAGGUAACAUCAAAUCGUACCCCAAACCGACACAGGUGGUCAGGUAGAGAAUACCAAGGCGCUUGAGAGAACUCGGGUGAAGGAACUAGGCAAAAUGGUGCCGUAACUUCGGGAGAAGGCACGCUGAUAUGUAGGUGAAGUCCCUCGCGGAUGGAGCUGAAAUCAGUCGAAGAUACCAGCUGGCUGCAACUGUUUAUUAAAAACACAGCACUGUGCAAACACGAAAGUGGACGUAUACGGUGUGACGCCUGCCCGGUGCCGGAAGGUUAAUUGAUGGGGUCAGCGCAAGCGAAGCUCUUGAUCGAAGCCCCGGUAAACGGCGGCCGUAACUAUAACGGUCCUAAGGUAGCGAAAUUCCUUGUCGGGUAAGUUCCGACCUGCACGAAUGGCGUAAUGAUGGCCAGGCUGUCUCCACCCGAGACUCAGUGAAAUUGAACUCGCUGUGAAGAUGCAGUGUACCCGCGGCAAGACGGAAAGACCCCGUGAACCUUUACUAUAGCUUGACACUGAACAUUGAGCCUUGAUGUGUAGGAUAGGUGGGAGGCUUUGAAGUGUGGACGCCAGUCUGCAUGGAGCCGACCUUGAAAUACCACCCUUUAAUGUUUGAUGUUCUAACGUGGACCCGUGAUCCGGGUUGCGGACAGUGUCUGGUGGGUAGUUUGACUGGGGCGGUCUCCUCCUAAAGAGUAACGGAGGAGCACGAAGGUUGGCUAAUCCUGGUCGGACAUCAGGAGGUUAGUGCAAUGGCAUAAGCCAGCUUGACUGCGAGCGUGACGGCGCGAGCAGGUGCGAAAGCAGGUCAUAGUGAUCCGGUGGUUCUGAAUGGAAGGGCCAUCGCUCAACGGAUAAAAGGUACUCCGGGGAUAACAGGCUGAUACCGCCCAAGAGUUCAUAUCGACGGCGGUGUUUGGCACCUCGAUGUCGGCUCAUCACAUCCUGGGGCUGAAGUAGGUCCCAAGGGUAUGGCUGUUCGCCAUUUAAAGUGGUACGCGAGCUGGGUUUAGAACGUCGUGAGACAGUUCGGUCCCUAUCUGCCGUGGGCGCUGGAGAACUGAGGGGGGCUGCUCCUAGUACGAGAGGACCGGAGUGGACGCAUCACUGGUGUUCGGGUUGUCAUGCCAAUGGCACUGCCCGGUAGCUAAAUGCGGAAGAGAUAAGUGCUGAAAGCAUCUAAGCACGAAACUUGCCCCGAGAUGAGUUCUCCCUGACCCUUUAAGGGUCCUGAAGGAACGUUGAAGACGACGACGUUGAUAGGCCGGGUGUGUAAGCGCAGCGAUGCGUUGAGCUAACCGGUACUAAUGAACCGUGAGGCUUAACC